rnacentral:rRNA from 1 species
AGUGAACGCUGGCGGUAGGCCUAACACAUGCAAGUCGAACGGCAGCACAGUAAGAGCUUGCUCUUACGGGUGGCGAGUGGCGGACGGGUGCGGAAUACAUCGGAAGCUACUUUUUCGUGGGGGAUAACGUAGGGAAACUUACGCUAAUACCGCAUACGACCUACGGGUGAAAGCAGGGGAUCUUCGGACCUUGCGCGAUUGAAUGAGCCGAUGUCGGAUUAGCUAGUUGGCGGGGUAAAGGCCCACCAAGGCGACGAUCCGUAGCUGGUCUGAGAGGAUGAUCAGCCACACUGGAACUGAGACACGGUCCAGACUCCUACGGGAGGCAGCAGUGGGGAAUAUUGGACAAUGGGCGCAAGCCUGAUCCAGCCAUACCGCGUGGGUGAAGAAGGCCUUCGGGUUGUAAAGCCCUUUUGUUGUGAAAGAAAAGCAGCAGGUUAAUACCCCGCUGUUCUGACGGUACCCAAAGAAUAAGCACCGGCUAACUUCGUG